AGCGAACGCUGGCGGCAGGCCUAACACAUGCAAGUCGAGCGCCCGUAGCAAUACGGGAGCGGCAGACGGGAGAGUAACACGUGGGAACGUACCCCUCAGUUCGGAACAACCCAGGGAAACUUCGGCUAAUACCGAAUACGUCCGUAAGGAGAAAGAUUUAUCGCUGAAGGAUCGGCCCGCGUCUGAUUAGCUAGUUGGUGGGGUAAUGGCCCACCAAGGCGACGAUCAGUAGCUGGUCUGAGAGGAUGAUCAGCCUCACUGGGACUGAGACACGGCCCAGACUCCUACGGGAGGCAGCAGUGGGGAAUGUUGGACAAUGGGCGCAAGCCUGAUCCAGCCAUGCCGCGUGGAUGAUGAA
rnacentral:rRNA from 1 species